AUAUUGGACAAUGGGGGCAACCCUGAUCCAGCAAUGCCGCGUGAGUGAAGAAGGCCUUAGGGUUGUAAAGCUCUUUUGCCCGGGAAGAUAAUGACUGUACCGGGAGAAUAAGCCCCGGCUAACUCCGUGCCAGCAGCCGCGGUAAUACGGAGGGGGCUAGCGUUGUUCGGAAUUACUGGGCGUAAAGCGUACGUAGGCGGUUUACCAAGUAGGGGGUGAAAUCCCGGGGCUUAACCCCGGAAUUGCCUUCUAGACUGGUAGACUUGAGACCGAGAGAGGUAAGGGGAAUUCCGAGUGUAGAGGUGAAAUUCGUAGAUAUUCGGAAGAACACCAGUGGCGAAGGCGCCUUACUGGCUCGGCACUGACGCUGAGGUACGAAAGCGUGGGGAGCAAACAGG
rnacentral:rRNA from 1 species